rnacentral:rRNA from 1 species
UGGCGAACGGGUGAGUAACACGUGGGCAACCUGCCCAAAAGAGGGGGAUAACACUUGGAAACAGGUGCUAAUACCGCAUAACCAUAGUUACCGCAUGGUAACUAUGUAAAAGGUGGCUAUGCUACCGCUUUUGGAUGGGCCCGCGGCGCAUUAGCUAGUUGGUAGGGUAAAGGCUUACCAAGGCAAUGAUGCGUAGCCGAACUGAGAGGUUGAUCGGCCACAUUGGGACUGAGACACGGCCCAAACUCCUACGGGAGGCAGCAG